rnacentral:rRNA from 1 species
AUUGAACGCUGGCGGCAGGCCUAACACAUGCAAGUCGAGCGGAUGAAGGGAGCUUGCUCCUGGAUUCAGCGGCGGACGGGUGAGUAAUGCCUAGGAAUCUGCCUGGUAGUGGGGGACAACGUUUCGAAAGGAACGCUAAUACCGCAUACGUCCUACGGGAGAAAGCAGGGGACCUUCGGGCCUUGCGCUAUCAGAUGAGCCUAGGUCGGAUUAGCUAGUUGGUGAGGUAAUGGCUCACCAAGGCGACGAUCCGUAACUGGUCUGAGAGGAUGAUCAGUCACACUGGAACUGAGACACGGUCCAGACUCCUACGGGAGGCAGCAGUGGGGAAUAUUGGACAAUGGGCGAAAGCCUGAUCCAGCCAUGCCGCGUGUGUGAAGAAGGUCUUCGGAUUGUAAAGCACUUUAAGUUGGGAGGAAGGGUUGUAGAUUAAUACUCUGGGAUAGUGGACGUUACUCGCAGAAUAAGCACCGGCUAACUCUGUGCCAGCCGCCGCCGUAACAC